UACGGAGGGUGCAAGCGUUAUCCGGAUUCACUGGGUUUAAAGGGUGCGUAGGUGGGCAGGUAAGUCAGUGGUGAAAUCUCUGGGCUUAACUCAGAAACUGCCAUUGAUACUAUGUUUCUUGAAUUUUCUGGAGGUCAGCGGAAUAUGUCAUGUAGCGGUGAAAUGCUUAGAUAUGACAUAGAACACCAAUUGCGAAGGCAGCUGGCUACAGGGAUAUUGACACUGAGGCACGAAAGCGUGGGGAUCAAACAGG
rnacentral:rRNA from 1 species